UACGUAGGGGGCAAGCGUUGUCCGGAUUUAUUGGGCGUAAAGAGCUCGUAGGCGGCCAGGUAGGUCCGUUGUGAAAACUCGAGGCUCAACCUCGAGACGUCGGCGGAAACCAUCUGGCUAGAGUCCGGAAGAGGAGAGUGGAAUUCCUGGUGUAGCGGUGAAAUGCGCAGAUAUCAGGAAGAACACCCGUGGCGAAGGCGGCUCUCUGGGACGGUACUGACGCUGAGACGCGAAAGCGUGGGGAGCAAACAGG
rnacentral:rRNA from 1 species